UACGAUAACGAACGAGACCUUAACCUGCUAAAUAGCCCAGUCGGCUUUUGCUGUCUGCUGGCUUCUUAGAGGGACUGUCAGCGUCUAGCUGACGGAAGUUUGAGCCAAUAACAGGUCUGUGAUGCCCUUAGAUGUUCUGGGCCGCACGCGCGCUACACUGAUCAAGUCAACGAGUUUACAACCUUGGCCGGAAGGUCUGGGUAAUCUUUUGAAACUUGAUCGUGCUGGGGAUAGUCCAUUGCAAUUAUUGGACUUCAACGAGGAAUUCCUAGUAAGCGUGAGUCAUCAGCUCGCGUUGAUUACGUCCCUGCCCUUUGUACACACCGCCCGUCGCUAGUACCGAUUGAAUGGAUAG
rnacentral:rRNA from 1 species